CGCCCGCGCAGGCGCAGGGGCAGGAAGGAGCCCAGCAGCGAGGCAGGUGGCACCACCAGGGGGGCCCUCAAGCCUGGCGCGCACGCAUUCCAGACGACACCCAGACCAUGCUCCGCCGCCUGGGCGCCCAAGCUGCAGUCGCCCUCUGUGUGCAGGCAGCAGCUGCCUGGCAACCCCCGAGCCCGCUCGCGCUCCCAGCAUCGCAGAACCAGGGCCAGGUAUCCCAGUGGCUGCGAUCAAGCCAGUCAUUCUGCCCGGCGGCGGCGGCUGCACAGGAGCCAGAACUGAGAACCCGCCGCUCAGCCCCACACGGGGUGACUGCCGAGUGCCCGUGCCAGCGGCCCAGAUCUCCCUCAGGUGGAGGAGUGGGCGAGAGGCACGGCCUGGGGGCCCUCAGGCUGGGCGCGCUGGCGAUCCCAAGGCCGACCAGGCCAUGCACCUCCAGCCCGCCUGGGCACCUAAGCUGCAGCCGCCUUCUGUGUGCAGGCAGCAGCCUCCAGGCAACUCCCGAGCCCGCCCGCACUCCCCACAUCUCGGAACCAGGGCCAGAUGUCCCUGUGGCUGCGGCGAAGCCAGGCGGUCUGCCCUGCAGCAGCUGCACGGGGGCGGGAACCGGCCCUCAGCCCCAUCCCCGGUGGCUGUAGAGGACCCCUAGCUAGAGGUCUCGAGCUCUGGCAGAGGAGGACCCGGGCGGGGGCAGGGUCUGGCGGGCUCUCAGGCCAGGGGCACUCGUGAUCCAGAGGCCGCCCAGGCCAUGCUCCACCACCUGGGCGCCCAGCUACAGGCGCCGGGCAACUUCCAAGCUGGCUGGCGCGCCCAGCCUCGCAGAACCAGGGCUAGAUGUCGCCGUGACUGAGGCCAAGUCAGGCGGUCUGCCCGGAGGCGGCUGCACCAGGGCAGGAACCGACCCUCAGCCGCAUCCCCGGUGGCUGCAGGCGGCCCCUGGAGCGGCCCCGAUCUCUCUUCGGAGGAGAAGAGGGGCGGAGUCACGGCCAGGCGGGCCCUCAGGAGGGAAGGGAUGAGCGCCUGCGAUUCCGGGAAGUCCCGCGCCAGCCCAGGAGAACCCGCAAGCCCGCGGCGCCUGUUUCUCUGUGUGAUUCUUUGAGGAACCACCAAACUGUUUUCCACAGCAAGUGCAUCAUUUUCUGUUCCUAGCAGCCAGUUCAUGAGGGCUCCAAUUUCUCCACCUCCUUAGCAACACUGAUUUUCUGUAUCGUUGUUAUGAAAGCCUUACUAGUGGAUGCAAAGUGGCAUCUCAUUUGGGUUUUGUCUUGCAUUUUAUUAAUGAAUAACGGUGUUUAGCAUCUUUUCUUGUCCUUCUUAGACAUUUGUGUAUCUUUUUUGGAGAAAUGUCUAUUCAAGUCCUUUGCCUCUUUUUUAAUUGGGAUCUUAGAAAUUCUGUUGAGUUGUGGGAUAUUAAGCUUUUAUCAGAUACACACUUUGAUUUUAGCAGAUACAUAUUUUCUCACAUACUAUGGGUUGUCUUUUCACUCCCUUGAUAGUAUCCUUUGAUGCAUAAAGGGUUUUUAUUUUGAUUGAAUCUAAUUUACAUGUAUUUUCUUUUGUUAUCUGUGCUUUUCUGUCAUAUUUCAAAAUACACUUAAAACUCAAAGGUCAUAAAGGUUUACCGUGUGUUUUCUUCUAAGAGUUACAUACUUUUAGUCCUUACAUUUAAGUCUUUUAUUAAUUUAGAAUUAAUUUUUGUAUAUACUGCAAGGUAGGGGUCUAAUUUCUCUCCUGUGCACUGACAUCCAGCUGUUGAAGAGACUGUUCUUUCCUCCCUUGACUAGACUUGGCCACCUUGUUGAACAGUCAUUGACCAUAUAUGUGAGGACUAAUUUGUAGGAUCUCAAAUCUGUUCUAUUGUAUUGGUCUAAAAGUCUGUUGGUCUUAUGCCAGUACCACACUCUCUUGAUGACUGUAGAUUUGUAGUAGGCUGUGAAACUGAAAAAUGUGAGUUUUCCAAUGUUCUUUUUCAAGACUGUUUUGUCUGUCAGAUCCUUUGAAUUUUUGUAUGAUUUUAGAAUGAGUUUCUUUGUUUCUGCAAAAAUGCCUUUGGGAUUUUGAUGGUAUUGCAUUGAAUCUGUAGAUUACUUUAGAUGGUAUUGUCAUCUUAACAAUAUUGUCUUACAACCCGUGAACACAGAAUGUCUUUCCAGUUAUUUCCACUCUC
rnacentral:lncRNA from 1 species